rnacentral:rRNA from 1 species
GACGUAGGGCGCGAGCGUUGUCCGGAUUUAUUGGGCGUAAAGAGCUCGUAGGCGGCUUGUUGCGUCGGCUGUGAAAACCCGUGGCUUAACUGCGGGCUUGCAGCUGAUACGGGCGGGCUGGAGUUCGGUAGGGGAGACUGGAAUUCCUGGUGUAGCGGUGAAAUGCGCAGAUAUCAGGAGGAACACCGGUGGCGAAGGCGGAUCUCUGGGCCUUACCUGACGCUCAGGUGCGAAAGCUAGGGGAGCGAACAGG